CCACGAUCAAACACAAAACACGGAGCACCGGUAGUGAAAUUAUUGCGGGGCAGGCAGAAGAGCCAAUCAGAGGAGAGCAUCGCUAUGUAAGCCCCGCCCACAGCCCAAGCUCUUCCUGUGGCGGCUCAGUUCUCUGCUGGGACAUCUUGAGUCUUGCAACUGAAUGUUACGCAGACACAUACCACCUUCUUAAACACAGUUGCAGACAAAGCAGCUGCAACAGGAAUGAACUAAAGGAUCUGCCAACGUCUUGGUGAUACAUACCACUGGAUACCCCAGACAUCAAGUGCCAACGCCAUGAUGGGCAGCACAAGGAGAACCUACACAAUAACAGCGUAGGUCUCAUAAAUGUACUGGUGAACAUUCUUUUAACAAAACCACGUCCACCUUUACACCUGUAAGCCAUACACAGGAAACACAACUCAAUACUUCUAAAAAAAUGAUGAAAUAAAAGAACACAAGUGGACCUAAUGCUGA